UACGUAGGGUGCAAGCGUUAAUCGGAAUUACUGGGCGUAAAGCGUGCGCAGGCGGUUCGUCGUGUCCGAUGUGAAAGCCCCGGGCUCAACCUGGGAAUGGCAUUGGAAACUGGCGGACUCGAGUGUGGCAGAGGGGGGUGGAAUUCCGCGUGUAGCAGUGAAAUGCGUAGAGAUGCGGAGGGACACCGAUGGCGAAGGCAGCCCCCUGGGCUAACACUGACGCUCAGGCACGAAAGCGUGGGGAGCAACAGG
rnacentral:rRNA from 1 species